GGAAUAACAAAGUGUAGAUGGCAGCACAUC
rnacentral:piRNA from 1 species